rnacentral:rRNA from 1 species
CCUACGGGUGGCAGCAGUGGGGAAUAUUGGGCAAUGGGCGCAAGCCUGACCCAGCAACGCCGCGUGAAGGAAGAAGGCUUUCGGGUUGUAAACUUCUUUUCUUAGGGACGAAGAAAGUGACGGUACUUCAGGAGUAAGCCACGGCUAACUACGUGCCAGCAGCCGCCGUAAUACGUCGGUGGCAGUCGUUAUCCGGAUUUAUUGGGUGUAAAGGGCGUGUAGGCGGGAAAGCAAGUCAGAUGGGAAAACUCAGGGCUCAACCCUGAGCCUGCAUUUGAAACUGUUUUUCUUGAGUGCUGGAGAGGCAAGCGGAAUUCCGUGUGUAGCGGUGAAAUGCGGAGAUAUACGGAGGAACACCAGUGGCGAAGGCGGAUUGCCGGACAGUAACUGACGCUGAGGCGCGAAAGCGUGGGGAGCAAACAGGAUUAGAUACCCUAGUAGUC